UGCCAGCCGCCGCGGUAAUACCGAGGGCUCGAGCGUUAAUCGGAAUCACUGGGCUUAAAGCGUGCGUAGGCGGACCCGUAAGCAUCAUGUGAAAUCCCACGGCUCAACCGUGGAACUGCAUGGUGAACUACGGGUCUUGAGGUCGGUAGAGGUUGUCGGAACUCUAGGUGGAGCGGUGAAAUGCGUAGAUAUCUAGAGGAACGCCUAAGGUGAAGACAGGCAACUGGGCCGAUCCUGACGCUGAGGCACGAAAGCGUGGGUAGCGAACGGGAUUAGAUA
rnacentral:rRNA from 1 species